rnacentral:rRNA from 1 species
UUAUCCGGAUUUAUUGGGUUUAAAGGGUGCGUAGGCGGUUGUGUAAGUUAGUGGUCAAAUGUCAUGGCUCAACCUUGGCUUGCCAUUAAAACUGCACGACUCGAGUACAGACGAGGUAGGCGGAAUAAGUUAAGUAGCGGUGAAAUGCAUAGAUAUAACUUAGAACUCCGAUAGCGAAGGCAGCUUACCAGACUGUAACUGACGCUGAUGCACGAGAGCAUGGGUAGCGAACAGGAUUAGAUACCCUGGUAGUCCAUGCCGUAAACGAUGCUCACUGGCUCUGUGCGAUACAUUGUACGGGGUCAAGCGAAAGUAUUAAGUGAGCCACCUGGGGAGUACGUCGGCAACGAUGAAACUCAAAGGAAUUGACGGGGGCCCGCACAAGCGGAGGAACAUGUGGUUUAA